rnacentral:lncRNA from 13 species
CCCCAUCUUUUCUACUCCUUCUUGCAUCCUCGAUAGUAGAAGCCAGCGCUGGAACCAGCUGGACAGUUUAUCUCCCUUUAGCGGGAAACCUAGCACAUGCAGGAGCCUCUGUGGACCUGACCAUCAUCUCACUCCAGUUAGCAGCUAAGAAAACUGAGACACAACACAAUGAAGCAAUUUUCUCAAGUUCUCAUGGCUACAAGUGGCAGAGACAGCCAUUGGUUCCAGUCUGCAUCCAGAGCCUACAUUCUUAAAUAUGAUAUCAUGUCUCUCAACAUGUGUUAAUAUUUACCUAACUUACAACAAUUUUGUAUUCAAUGGAAUGAAUGAUAUGUGACUUACAACUUGCUAUCAUAAUUGAGUACCUAGGAUGAGAUUUUUAAAGUAUUGAAUAUUGACUUUUGAUCCAGACAAUUACAUUUAGUUUUGUUUUUAAUACAUCUUUCAUAAAACAAGUUCUUGUCUCAAUGAAGUUAGGAGAUUCACAUUUAAUAACAAGUUCUAACAGGAGGAGAGAUAAUUUAAAUUGUGUCUAGAGGAGAAUAUAAGAGAGGAAGGGCUUAUGUUCAGAAGAAAAGAGAUACUGAGUUAAGAGAUACUAAGGAAAAGAGACACAGUAUAGAGAAUUCCUAAGAGACCCCAGAUACCGGAAAAGUCAGCAGAAGAAUUGGAUGACAUAUGGUGCUAACAAGACUGGAGGGAGAGGGGUCCUGCAUGCCCAGAUCCUAUUAAAUAUUGGGUAGUUGAGAACAGGGAAGCCAAGCCAGUAUAGAUAGGGACAAAUACUGAGUGCAUUAGCUAUCCUGCAGGAGAGCUGCCCCUUCAAGACCAAAUUGAAUGCUGUUACUUCAAGUGGAUUUUAUUGGCUUUGGCUAUUAUCCCAUUCCAUAUUCCCAUGAAGAUGUCCACACAGUGGGAUCCUUAAGGAAACUCACAAAAUCAGGAUUACAAUUACCUUAAUACGUUUCUCCUCUAGAGAUUUCAGAGUUCUUUUAAACAUUCAAUCAUCAUGCAAUUUCAGCAAGUACCUUGUUCAUGUUUUAUAAAUUGACUGUCAUUUAUUUAGUCCUUUGUCUCUUUUCAUGCAUUAGUAUGUGAGGUAUUAUAAUAUAUUAAUUAAAGGGCAAACUCUGGGAGCUAGAUUGAUAUGGAGUAUAAUCUUUGCUCAUCCACUUCCUAGCUUUGUGACCUUGAACAAGUUACAUAACCUCACUAAAUCUUAGUUACAUCAUUUGUAAGCAGGGGAAUAAUAAAAGUACCUACUUCAUAAAGCUGUAGUGAUAG